rnacentral:rRNA from 1 species
AGUGAACGCUGGCGGUAGGCCUAAUACAUGCAGGUCGAACGACCGCACAGUAAGCGUUCGCCUCUACCGUUGGCGACUGGCGGGCGGGUGAGGCGUGCAUAGCCUUCUUCUUUUUCGUGGGGGACUUCGUAGGGCCACUUCUGCUACCAGAGCAUAUAUUCUACCGCUGAAAUCAGGAGUUAUUCGCACUUUUCCUGUCUGUUUGAGCUGAUGCCGCAUUAGCUAGUUGGCUAGGUAAAGGCACACCAAGGCAACGAUACGUAGCGGGUCUGAGAGGAUGAUCGGCCACACUGGAACUGAGACACGGUCCAGACUCCUACGGGAGGCAGCAGUAGGGAAUAUUGCGCAAUGGGCGCAAGCCUGAUCCAGCCAUACCGCGUGAGUGAUGAAGGUCUUCGGAUUGUAAAGCUCUUUUGUUAGGAAAGAAAAACAGCAUAUGAAUCUCCCGCUGUUCUGACGGUACCCAAAGAGUAAGCACCGGCUAACUUCGUG